rnacentral:rRNA from 1 species
UACGUAGGGGGCAAGCGUUGUCCGGAAUCAUUGGGCGUAAAGCGCGUGUAGGCGGCCCGAUAAGUCCGCUGUGAAAGUCCAGGGCUCAACCCUGGAAUGCCGGUGGAUACUGUCGAGCUCGAGUCCGGAAGAGGCGAGUGGAAUUCCUGGUGUAGCGGUGAAAUGCGCAGAUAUCAGGAGGAACACCAAUGGCGAAGGCAGCUCGCUGGGACGGUACUGACGCUGAGACGCGAAAGCGUGGGGAGCAAACAGG